ACCGGCGCACGGGUGCGUAACGCGUAUGCAAUCUACCUUGUACAGGGGAAUAGCCCAGAGAAAUUUGGAUUAAUGCCCCAUAGUAUAUAACCUUCGCAUGUUGGUUAUAUUAAAGUUCCAACGGUACAAGAUGAGCAUGCGUCCCAUUAGUUAGUUGGUAAGGUAACGGCUUACCAAGACGAUGAUGGGUAGGGGUCCUGAGAGGGAGAUCCCCCACACUGGUACUGAGACACGGACCAGACUCCUACGGGAGGCAGCAGUGAGGAAUAUUGGUCAAUGGUCGCAAGACUGAACCAGCCAUGCCGCGUGCAGGAAGACGGUCCUAUGGAUUGUAAACUGCUUUUAUACAGGAAGAAACCCUCCCACGUGUGGGAGCUUGACGGUACUGUAGGAAUAAGGAUCGGCUAACUCCGUGCCAGCAGCCGCGGUAAUACGGAGGAUCCAAGCGUUAUCCGGAAUCAUUGGGUUUAAAGGGUCCGUAGGCGGUCUUAUAAGUCAGUGGUGAAAGCCCAUCGCUCAACGAUGGAACUGCCAUUGAUACUGUAAGACUUGAAUGCUUAGGAAGUAACUAGAAUAUGUAGUGUAGCGGUGAAAUGCUUAGAUAUUACAUGGAAUACCAAUUGCGAAGGCAGGUUACUACUAAGUGAUUGACGCUGAUGGACGAAAGCGUGGGGAGCGAACAGGAUUAGAUACCCUGGUAGUCCACGCC
rnacentral:rRNA from 1 species